rnacentral:rRNA from 1 species
UAGGGAAUUUUCGGCAAUGGGCGAAAGCCUGACCGAGCAACGCCGCGUGAGGGAGGAAGUACUUCGGUAUGUAAACCUCUGUUAUAAAGGAAGAACGGAUGGUGCAGGGAAUGGCAUCAUAGUGACGGUACUUUAUGAGGAAGCCACGGCUAACUACGUGCC